rnacentral:misc_RNA from 1 species
GGUGGAAACAUGAAGGGUAUCUAGAAAAAGAGGAAGGACAUGAGGAGGGAAGAAGAGAGAAUCUCGAAGAAGAUGAGGAAUUUGUAGAACAUAAGAAAUGGGUAGAGGCAAAUAUAGAGGUAGAAAUAGUCGACAUAUUGAUUGGCCUUGCUAGGGUUUUAUGGGUUCAUUUAAAUUCUAGUUCUUGGUGAAUUGGGGGAAGAGUAAUUGAACGAUUUUGGUAUGGUU